rnacentral:lncRNA from 1 species
AGUUUCAAAACUGCUCUAUCGAAAGGAAGGUUCAACUCUGUGAGUUGAAAGCACACAUCACAAAGAAGUUUCUGACAAUUAUUCUGUCUUGUUUUGUAUUAGGAAUCACUUUUCAAACGAAGGCCACAAAUUGGUCCAAAUAUCCACUUGGAAAUUCUACAAAAAGAAUAUUUCAACACUCUUCUAUCAAAAGGAAGGUUGAACUCUGAGAGUUAAAUGCACGCAUCACAAAGAAGUUUCUGAGAAUUCUUCUGUCAAGGUUUAUAUGAAGAAAUCCCGUUUCCAAUGAAGGCCUCAAAAAAGUCCAAAUAUUUACUUGCAGAUUCUACAAAAAGAGUGUUUCAUAACUGGUCUAUCAAAAGAAAGGUUAAACUCAGUGAGUUGAACCCACACAUCACAAAGUAGUUUCUGAGAAUCAUUCUGUCUAGUUUUCCUACGAAGAUAUUGCCUUUUCUACCAUAGGCCUCAAACGGCGCUAAAUAUCCACCUGGAAAUUCUACAAAAACUGAGUUUCAAAAGUGCUCUAUUGAAAGGAAGCUUCAACUCUGUGCGUUGAAGGUACACACCACAAAGAAGUUUCUGAGAAUUCUUCUGUCUACUUGUAAAUGAAGAAAUCACGUUUCAAACGAAGGCCACAAAGAGGUCCAAACAUCCACUUGCAGAUUCUACAAAAAGAGUGUUUCAAAACUGCUCCAUCAAGAGGAAUGUUCAACUCUGUGCGUUGAAUGCAAAUAUCACAAAUAAGUUUCUGACAAUACUUCUGUCUAGUUUUUAUGUGAAGAUAUUUCCUUUUCUACCCUUGGCCUCAAAUCGCUCUAA